rnacentral:rRNA from 1 species
GACGAACGCUGGCGGCGUGCCUAACACAUGCAAGUCGAGCGGAGGCAUCGGAAGAGCAAUCGGAGGAUGUCUGAGCGGCGGACGGGUGAGUAACGCGUGAGCAACCUGCCUUUCACAGGGGGAUAACGCAGCGAAAGCUGCACUAAUACCGCAUGAGACCACAGUGCCGAUGGCGCAGGGGUCAAAGGAGAGAUCCGGUGAGAGAUGGGCUCGCGUCCGAUUAGGUAGUUGGCGGGGUGACGGCCCACCAAGCCUAUGAUCGGUAGCCGGCCUGAGAGGGUGAACGGCCACAUUGGAACUGAGAGACGGUCCAAACUCCUACGGGUGGCAG